ACUAGUCGAGUCGGCCUGCGCGGAAGAUGUAACGGGGCUCAAACCAUACACCGAAGCUACGGGUGCAUCGCAAGAUGCGCGGUAGAGGAGCGUUCUGUAAGCCUGUGAAGGUAAGUUGAGAAGCUUGCUGGAGGUAUCAGAAGUGCGAAUGCUGACAUGAGUAACGACAAUGGGAGUGAAAAACUCCCACGCCGAAAGACCAAGGUUUCCUGCGCCACGUUAAUCGACGCAGGGUGAGUCGGCCCCUAAGGCGAGAGCGAAAGCUGUAGUCGAUGGGAAACGGGUUAAUAUUCCCGUACUUCUAAUUACUGCGAUGGGGGGACGGAGAAGGCUAGGCCAGCAAGGCGUUGGUUGUCCUUGUUUAAGGUAGUAGGCUGAAAUCUUAGGUAAAUCCGGGGUUUUAAGGCUGAGAACUGAUGACGAGCAUUCCUUAGGGAUGCGAAGUGGUUGAUGCCAUGCUUCCAAGAAAAGCCUCUAAGCUUCAGGUAAUUAGGAACCGUACCCCAAACCGACACAGGUGGUUGGGUAGAGAAUACCAAGGCGCUUGAGAGAACUCGGGUGAAGGAACUAGGCAAAAUGGCACCGUAACUUCGGGAGAAGGUGCGCCGGUGAGGGUUAAGGGUAUACCCCGUAAGCUCUUGCUGGUCGAAGAUACCAGGCCGCUGCGACUGUUUAUUAAAAACACAGCACUCUGCAAACACGAAAGUGGACGUAUAGGGUGUGACGCCUGCCCGGUGCUGGAAGGUUAAUUGAUGGGGUUAGGGUUAAACCGAAGCUCUUGAUCGAAGCCCCAGUAAACGGCGGCCGUAACUAUAACGGUCCUAAGGUAGCGAAAUUCCUUGUCGGGUAAGUUCCGACCUGCACGAAUGGCGUAACGAUGGCGGCGCUGUCUCCACCCGAGACUCAGUGAAAUUGAAAUCGCUGUGAAGAUGCAGUGUAUCCGCGGCUAGACGGAAAGACCCCGUGAACCUUUACUGUAGCUUUGCACUGGACUUUGAGCUUGCUUGUGUAGGAUAGGUGGGAGGCUAUGAAGCGUAGACGUCAGUUUGCGUGGAGCCAUCCUUGAAAUACCACCCUGGCAAUCUUGAGGUUCUAACUCAGGUCCGUUAUCCGGAUCGAGGACAGUGUAUGGUGGGCAGUUUGACUGGGGCGGUCUCCUCCUAAAGAGUAACGGAGGAGUACGAAGGUGCGCUCAGACCGGUCGGAAAUCGGUCGUAGAGUAUAAAGGCAAAAGCGCGCUUGACUGCGAGACUCACACGUCGAGCAGGUACGAAAGUAGGUCUUAGUGAUCCGGUGGUUCUGUAUGGAAGGGCCAUCGCUCAACGGAUAAAAGGUACUCCGGGGAUAACAGGCUGAUACCGCCCAAGAGUUCAUAUCGACGGCGGUGUUUGGCACCUCGAUGUCGGCUCAUCACAUCCUGGGGCUGAAGCCGGUCCCAAGGGUAUGGCUGUUCGCCAUUUAAAGUGGUACGCGAGCUGGGUUUAGAACGUCGUGAGACAGUUCGGUCCCUAUCUGCCGUGGACGUUUGAGAUUUGAGAGGGGCUGCUCCUAGUACGAGAGGACCGGAGUGGACGAACCUCUGGUGUUCCGGUUGUCACGCCAGUGGCAUUGCCGGGUAGCUAUGUUCGGAAGAGAUAACCGCUGAAAGCAUCUAAGUGGGAAACUUGCCUCAAGAUGAGAUCUCACUGGGAACUAGAUUCCCCUAAAGGGUCGUCGAAGACUACGACGUUGA
rnacentral:rRNA from 1 species